GUGCCAGCUCACUACAACCUCCACUUCCCAGAUUCAAGUGAGUCCCCUGCCUCAGCCUCCCGAGUAUCUGCGACUACAGAUGGUUUCCUAGAAACAUGAUUGUUUAUUGGCGUUGAUCUCGCAGUCUGGUGAGAACUUCUUUACUGAUAAUGUCAAGUUCAGUUUAUCCUCCCAACCAAGGAGCAUUCAGCACAGAACAAAGUCGUUCUCCUCCUCACUCUGUAAAGUAUACGUUUCCCAGCACCCACCACCAGCAGGAUCCAGCAUUUGGAGGCAAACAUGAAGCUCCAUCCUCUCCAAUUUCGGGGCAACCAUGUGGAGAUGAUCAAAAUGCUUUACCUUCAAAACUUUCAAACGAAGAGUUAAUACAAAGUAUGGAUCGUGUAGAUUGAAAAAUUGCAAAAGUAGAACAGCAGAUCCUUAAACUGAAAAAGAAACAAGUAAAAGUCUUUGCCUAAUAUAUUCUAAGAAUGUAUGUUUUUCUCCCUACAGAAGAUAAUUUUGAGUUUUCCAUAUUUUGAAACUUUACAUAAAAGGAAUCAUGCCUUA
rnacentral:lncRNA from 1 species